AGAAAAUGGAUGGAUGGAUGGAUAGAGAAUAAUACCCCACCACUUGUCAAAAGUUUGAUGGAUGACGUCACAGCCAAUCAGAAUCGACUAUGUCACUAAGCCCUGCCCCUAA